rnacentral:rRNA from 1 species
AUUGAACGCUGGCGGCAGGCUUAACACAUGCAAGUCGAGCGGGGUGAUGGUGCUUGCACUAUCACUUAGCGGCGGACGGGUGAGUAAUGCUUAGGAAUCUGCCUAUUAGUGGGGGACAACAUCUCGAAAGGGAUGCUACUACCGCAUACGUUCUACGGGAGAAAGCAGGGGAUCACUUGUGACCUUGCGCUAAUAGAGGAGCCUCAGUCGGAUUAGCUAGUUGGUGGGGGAAAGGCCUAGCAAGGCGACGAUCUGUAGCGGGUCUGAGAGGAUGAUCCGCCACACUGGGACUGAGACACGGCUCAGACUCCUACGGGAGGCAGCAGUGGGGAAUAUUGGACAAUGGGGGGAACCCUGAUCCAGCCAUGCCGCGUGUGUGAAGAAGGCCUUAUGGUUGUAAAGCACUUUAAGCGAGGAGGAGGCUCUUUUGGUUAAUACCCAAGAUGAGUGGACGUUACUCGCAGAAUAAGCACCGGCUAACUCUGUGCCAGCCGCCGCAGUAA